GUAUUGUAGGAAAGGAGAGAAGGCUAGUGCUCCCCUGGACAAGGAUGAAGGAAACCCUUGGGCCUGCUAACAGUAUUACAGUUAAGGCAGUGUCACCUACUUGUGGCAUCAAUCAGGAGAGACA
ensembl:snRNA